UACGGGAGGCAGCAGUGGGGAAUAUUGCACAAUGGGCGAAAGCCUGAUGCAGCGACGCCGCGUGAGGGAUGACGGCCUUCGGGUUGUAAACCUCUUUCAGCAGGGAAGAAGCGAAAGUGACGGUACCUGCAGAAGAAGCGCCGGCUAACUACGUGCCAGCAGCCGCGGUAAUACGUAGGGCGCAAGCGUUGUCCGGAAUUAUUGGGCGUAAAGAGCUCGUAGGCGGCUUGUCACGUCGGAUGUGAAAGCCCGAGGCUUAACCUCGGGUCUGCAUUCGAUACGGGCUAGCUAGAGUGUGGUAGGGGAGAUCGGAAUUCCUGGUGUAGCGGUGAAAUGCGCAGAUAUCAGGAGGAACACCGGUGGCGAAGGCGGAUCUCUGGGCCAUUACUGACGCUGAGGAGCGAAAGCGUGGGGAGCGAACAGGAUUAGAUACCCUGGUAGUCCACGCCGUAAACGUUGGGAACUAGGUGUUGGCGACAUUCCACGUCGUCGGUGCCGCAGCUAACGCAUUAAGUUCCCCGCCUGGGGAGUACGGCCGCAAGGCUAAAACUCAAAGGAAUUGACGGGGGCCCGCACAAGCAGCGGAGCAUGUGGCUUAAUUCGACGCAACGCGAAGAACCUUACCAAGGCU
rnacentral:rRNA from 1 species